rnacentral:lncRNA from 1 species
AACACAAAGGGAAAGAGAAGAGGCACCCAAUACGUGUUCUCUAGGCCUUUUAGAGAACGUGGGUUCAUUCCUUUGGCCACAUACCUGUGAAUCUACAAGAAAGGUGAUAUUGUAGACAUCAAGGGAAUGGGCACUGUUCAGAAAGGAAUACCCCACAAAUGUUUUCAUGGCAAAACUGGAAGAGCCUACAUUGUUACCCAGUGUGCUGUUGGCAUUAUUUUAAAAACACAAGGUUAAGAUUCUUGCCAAGAGAAUUAAUGUGCAUAUUGAGCAUAUUAAGCACUUUAUUAAGAGCCAAAAAAUAGCAUCCUGAAUUGCAUGAAGGAAACUGUUCAGAGAAAAAGGAAGCCAAAGAGAAAGGUACCUGGGUUCAACUGAAGCACCAGCCCGCUCCACCCAGAGAAGCACACUGUGCAAGAACCAGUGGGAAGGAGCCGGAGCUGCUGGAACCUACUCCGCAUGAAUUCAUGGCAUAA